rnacentral:rRNA from 1 species
GCUUGACCGUAGCUUGUAAUUGGGUUCGGGCUUUUUUUGCGCAGCCUAGGUGGGAGGCAACGAUGAUUUUUUUCCGGAAAAAUUUGAGCCGUUAGUGAGAGACCACUCUGAAAAGGCUAGAAUCCUAAUAAUGAUCCUUGAAUCAGGACAUUUGACAGUUGCAGGUGGGCAGUUUUACUGGGGCGGUAUUCUCCUAAAAAGUAACGGAGGGGUGCAAAGGUUCCCUCAAGCUGGACGGAAAUCAGCUUAAGAGUGUAAAGGCAAAAGGGAGCUUGACUGCAAGACCUACAAGUCGAGCAGGGGCGAAAGCCGGCCUUAGUGAUCCGACGGUACCACGUGGAAGGGCCGUCGCUCAACGGAUAAAAGUUA